rnacentral:rRNA from 1 species
AAUGAACGUUGGCGGCGUGGAUUAGGCAUGCAAGUCGAGCGAGAACCCCGCAAGGGGGGACAGCGGCGAAAGGGACAGUAAUGUGUAGAUUAUCUGCCCUCAGGUCCGGGAUAGCUGCGGGAAACUGCAGGUAAUACCGGAUAACAUCUCCGGAUCAAAGGUGUGAUUCCGCCUGAGGAUGAGUCUGCAUCCUAUUAGCUAGUUGGUGGGGUAAUGGCCUACCAAGGCAUUGAUGGGUAGCAGGUGUGAGAGCACGACCUGCGUCAUUGGGACUGAGACACUGCCCAGACACCUCCGGGUGCCUGCAGUCGAGAAUCUUCGGCAAUGGGCGCAAGCCUGACCGAGCGACGCCGCGUGUGGGAUGAAGGCCUUCGGGUUGUAAACCACUGUCAGAGGGGAUGAAAUGCAGGUGGGUUCUCCCAUCUGUUUGACAUAGCCUCAGAGGAAGGACGGGCUAAGUUCGUG